rnacentral:rRNA from 1 species
GAUGAACGCUGGCGGCGUGCCUAAUACAUGCAAGUCGAGCGAACAGACGAGGAGCUUGCUCCUCUGACGUUAGCGGCGGACGGGUGAGUAACACGUGGAUAACCUACCUAUAAGACUGGGAUAACUUCGGGAAACCGGAGCUAAUACCGGAUAAUAUAUUGAACCGCAUGGUUCAAUGGUGAAAGACGGUUUUGCUGUCACUUAUAGAUGGAUCCGCGCCGCAUUAGCUAGUUGGUAAGGUAACGGCUUACCAAGGCGACGAUGCGUAGCCGACCUGAGAGGGUGAUCGGCCACACUGGAACUGAGACACGGUCCAGACUCCUACGGGAGGCGGCAGUAGGGAAUCUUCCGCAAUGGGCGAAAGCCUGACGGAGCAACGCCGCGUGAGUGAUGAAGGUCUUCGGAUCGUAAAACUCUGUUAUUAGGGAAGAACAAAUGUGUAAGUAACUAUGCACGUCUUGACGGUACCUAAUCAGAAAGCCACGGCUAACUACGUG